rnacentral:rRNA from 1 species
UGGGGAAUAUUGGACAAUGGGCGAAAGCCUGAUCCAGCCAUGCCGCGUGUGUGAAGAAGGUCUUCGGAUUGUAAAGUACUUUAAGUUGGGAGGAAGGGCAGUAAGCGAAUACCUUGCUGUUUUGACGUUACCGACAGAAUAAGCACCGGCUAACUCUGUGCCAGCAGCCGCGGUAAUACAGAGGGUGCAAGCGUUAAUCGGAAUUACUGGGCGUAAAGCGCGCGUAGGUGGUUCGUUAAGUUGCAUGUGAAAGCCCCGGGCUCAACCUGGGAACUGCAUCCAAAACUGGCGAGCUAGAGUAGGGCAGAGGGUGGUGGAAUUUCCUGUGUAGCAGUGAAAUGCGUAGAUAUAGGAAGGAACACCAGUGGCGAAGGCGACCACCUGAGCUCAUACUGACACUGAGGUGCGAAAGCGUGGGGAGCAAACAGG